ACAGAGGCACAAAAUAAAAUAAGAAUCAACCAGAAAAAGAGAAAAAGGUGAGGCAGAAGGAGCAUCACAGUACAAAAGCCAGGAGGCAAAUGAAUCCUCAUUCACUUUGCAGCAAGCUUCUACUGAAUGUGUUUUGACUAAUGAUGUCACAGAAACAACAGCAAACAAGGGAAACAGUCCUUGCUUUUAUGAGGUUUAUCCUGUAGUAGAGGAAAGAGGCAAGUAAAAAUUACAGUGUGUGCUCCACUGAGGAGUAAUAUGGAUGUUCUGAGAAGUCCAGAGCUUCCAACCCAGACUUGGGAGGAUAUGAGACCCAGUUGUUAAGCAUUUACCAGCAUAGCACUGCUUCAACUGAAGGCUGAACUAAAGGAUCUGAUUGUGAUGCACCCUCCCUGGCUACAUGAAGCUCAGCCACCAUCAUGAAUGACCCAGUAACUAUCUGGACCAGGAAGUUCAUAAUUAACCAACUACUUCAGUGGAAACAAAGGUCACUGAUAUUCUUCAGCCCAGAAAGGCAACAGUAUCAAGAGAGAAAUUUGGGGAAAAAUUAGCCAAAAUGUACAAGACCACACCAAAUGUCAUCUUUGUAGUUAGAUUCAGAACCCAUUUAGGUGGUGGCAAAACAACUGGCUUUGGCAUGAUUUAUGAUUCCUUGGGCUAUGAAAUAAAAAUAAAAGAACCCAAACAUAGACUUGCAGGGCAUGGCCUGAAAAAAGAAAAAGUCCUCAAGAAAACAGCAAAAGGAAUGCAAGAAUAGAAAAAAGAAAGGAAGACUGCAAAAGCCAAUGUUGGUGUUGGCAAAAAGUGAGCUAGAGAUUGGAUAACAGAAGGAGUAAAGAUUCUGCA